GACGAACGCUGGCGGCGUGCCUAAUACAUGCAAGUCGAGCGAAGUUUUUCUGGUGCUUGCACUAGAAAAACUUAGCGGCGAACGGGUGAGUAACACGUAAAGAACCUGCCUCAUAGACGGGGACAACUAUUGGAAACGAUAGCUAGUACCGGAUAACAGCAUUAACCGCAUGGUUGAUGUUUGAAAGUUGGUUUUGCUAACACUAUGAGAUGGCUUUGCGGUGCAUUAGCUAGUUGGUGGGGUAAAGGCCUACCAAGGCGACGAUGCAUAGCCGACCUGAGAGGGUGAUCGGCCACACUGGGACUGAGACACGGCCCAGACUCCUACGGGAGGCAGCAGUAGGGAAUCUUCCGCAAUGGGCGAAAGCCUGACGGAGCAACGCCGCGUGAGUGAAGAAGGAUUUCGGUUCGUAAAGCUCUGUUGUUAGGGAAGAAUGAUUGUAUAGUAACUAUAUACAGUAG
rnacentral:rRNA from 1 species